AGAAUANGCCNUGCAUGUCUCAGUACNAGCCAAAUUAAGGUGAAACCGCGAAAGGCUCAUUAAAUCAGUUAUGGUUCCUUAGAUCGUACCCACAAUUACUUGGAUAACUGUGGUAAUUCUAGAGCUAAUACAUGCAAACAGAACUCCGACCGGAGACGGAAGGAGUGCUUUUAUUAGAUCAAAACCAAUCGGUGGCGUGUGCUUGCACUCGUCAUCGCACAACUUGGUGACUCUGAAUAACUUUAUGCUGAUCGCACGGUCUUGCACCGGCGACGCAUCUUUCAAAUGUCUGACUUAUCAACUUUCGAUGGUAGGUUCUGCGCCUACCAUGGUUGUAACGGGUAACGGGGAAUCAGGGUUCGAUUCCGGAGAGGGAGCCUGAGAAACGGCUACCACAUCCAAGGAAGGCAGCAGGCGCGCAAAUUACCCACUCCCGGCACGGGGANGUAGUGACGAAAAAUAACGAUACGGGACUCAUCNGAGGCCCCGUAAUCGGNNUGAGUACACUNUAAACCCUUUAACGAGGAUCAAUUGGAGGGCAAGUNUGGUGCCAGCAGCCGCGGUAAUUCCAGCUCCAAUAGCGUAUAUUAAAGUUGUUGCGGUUAAAAAGNUNGUAGUCGAAUUUGUGUCCCGCGCCGCCGGUUCAUCGUUCGCGGUGUUAACUAGCGUGCCGCGGGACGUCCUGCCGGUGGANUAAGCUCUUUAUGGGUGAUGUCCAACUCAAUCCUGCCGCGGUGCUCUUAACUGAGUGUCGAGGUGGGCCGGCACGUUUACUUUGAACAAAUUAGAGUGCUUAAAGCAGGCUAAAAUAUCGCCUGAAUACUGUGUGCAUGGAAUAAUGGAAUAGGACCUCGGUUCUAUUUUGUUGGUUUUCGGAACCCCGAGGUAAUGAUUAAUAGGAACGGAUGGGGGCAUUCGUAUUGUGACGUUAGAGGUGAAAUUCUUGGAUCGUCGCAAGACGGACAGAAGNGAAAGCAUUUGCCNAAAANNNUUUCAUUGAUCAAGAACGAAAGUUAGAGGUUCGAAGGCGAUCAGAUACCGCCCUAGUUCUAACCAUAAACGAUGCCAGCUAGCGAUCCGUCGACGUUCCUCCGAUGACUCGACGGGCAGCUUCCGGGAAACCAAAGCUUUUGGGUUCCGGGGGAAGUAUGGUUGCAAANCUGAAACUUAAAGGAAUUGACGGAAGGGCACCACCAGGAGUGGAGCCUGCGGCUUAAUUUGACUCAACACGGGAAACCUCACCAGGCCCGGACACCGGAAGGAUUGACAGAUUGAGAGCUCUUUCUUGAUUCGGUGGGUGGUGGUGCAUGGCCGUUCUUAGUUGGUGGAGCGAUUUGUCUGGUUAAUUCCGAUAACGAACGAGACUCUAGCCUGCUAACUAGGCGUAUUUGACAUCUUAAAGGCUCGCCGGUUUUGGGGCGUUUCGGCGUUUCCUUUAUCGUGCGCAGUUUUUACUGUCAGCGUACAUACAAUUCUUCUUAGAGGGACAGGCGGCUUCUAGCCGCACGAGAUUGAGCAAUAACAGGUCUGUGAUGCCCUUAGAUGUUNUGGGCCGCACGCGCGNUACACUGAAGGAAUCAGNGUGUCCUCCCUGUCCGAGCGGACCGGGUAACCCGCUGAACUUCCUUCGUGCUAUGGAUUGGGGNUUGCAAUUGUUCCCCAUGAACGAGGAAUUCCCAGUAAGCGCGAGUCAUAAGCUCGCGUUGAUUACGUCCNUGCCCUUUGUACACACCNCCCGUCGCUACUACCGANNGAAUNAUUUAGAGAGGUNUUNGGAUCGGUUCGCGGUGGCGUUUNGANNUAGCNGAUNUUACUGANANGAUGACCA
rnacentral:rRNA from 1 species